UACGGAGGGUGCAAGCGUUAUCCGGAUUCACUGGGUUUAAAGGGUGCGUAGGUGGGCAGGUAAGUCAGUGGUGAAAUCUCCGGGCUUAACCCGGAAACUGCCAUUGAUACUAUCUGUCUUGAAUACCGUGGAGGUGAGCGGAAUAUGUCAUGUAGCGGUGAAAUGCUUAGAUAUGACAUAGAACACCAAUUGCGAAGGCAGCUCACUACACGAAUAUUGACACUGAGGCACGAAAGCGUGGGGAGCAAACAGG
rnacentral:rRNA from 1 species